AGAGUUUGAUCAUGGCUCAGAUUGAACGCUGGCGGCAUGCCUAACACAUGCAAGUCGAACGGCAGCAUAAUCUAGCUUGCUAGAUAGAUGGCGAGUGGCGAACGGGUGAGUAACGCGUAGGAAUAUACCUUAAAGAGGGGGAUAACCUGGGGAAACACAGGCUAAUACCGCGUAAGCUCUGAGGAGUAAAGCUGGGGACCUUCGGGCCUGGCGCUUUAAGAAUAGCCUGCGUCCGAUUAGCUAGUUGGUGGGGUAAAGGCUCACCAAGGCGACGAUCGGUAGCUGGUCUGAGAGGAUGAACAGCCACACUGGGACUGAGACACGGCCCAGACUCCUACGGGAGGCAGCAGUGGGGAAUAUUGCACAAUGGGGGAAACCCUGAUGCAGCGACGCCGCGUGAGCGAAGAAGUAUCUCGGUAUGUAAAGCUCUAUCAGCAGGGAAGAAGAUGACGGUACCUGACUAAGAAGCACCGG
rnacentral:rRNA from 1 species